CCUACGGGACGCACCAGUGGGGAAUUUUCCGCAAUGGGCGAAAGCCUGACGGAGCAAUACCGCGUGAGGGACGAAGGCUUUUGGGUCGUAAACCUCUUUUCUCAAGGAAGAUUUCAGACGGUACUUGAGGAAUAAGCAUCGGCUAACUCCGUGCCAGCAGCCGCGGUAAUACGGAGGAUGCAAGCGUUAUCCGGAAUGAUUGGGCGUAAAGCGUCCGCAGGUGGCUUUAUAAGUCUGCUGUUAAAGCGUUAGGCUUAACCUAAUUACGGCAGUGGAAACUAUAAGGCUAGAGUAUGUUAGGGGUAGAGGGAAUUCCCCGUGUAGCGGUGAAAUGCGUAGAGAUUGGGAAGAACACCGGUGGCGAAAGCGCUCUGCUAGGACAAUACUGACACUGAGGGACGAAAGCUAGGGGAGCGAAUGGGAUUAGAUACCCCUGUAGUC
rnacentral:rRNA from 1 species